AUGUUGAAAAAUUAGCGGAUGACUUGUGGCUGGGGGUGAAAGGCCAAUCAAACCGGGAGAUAGCUGGUUCUCCCCGAAAGCUAUUUAGGUAGCGCCUCGUGAAUUCAUCUCCGGGGGUAGAGCACUGUUUCGGCAAGGGGGUCAUCCCGACUUACCAACCCGAUGCAAACUGCGAAUACCGGAGAAUGUUAUCACGGGAGACACACGGCGGGUGCUAACGUCCGUCGUGAAGAGGGAAACAACCCAGACCGCCAGCUAAGGUCCCAAAGUCAUGGUUAAGUGGGAAACGAUGUGGGAAGGCCCAGACAGCCAGGAUGUUGGCUUAGAAGCAGCCAUCAUUUAAAGAAAGCGUAAUAGCUCACUGGUCGAGUCGGCCUGCGCGGAAGAUGUAACGGGGCUAAACCAUGCACCGAAGCUGCGGCAGCGACGCUUAUGCGUUGUUGGGUAGGGGAGCGUUCUGUAAGCCUGUGAAGGUGUGCUGUGAGGCAUGCUGGAGGUAUCAGAAGUGCGAAUGCUGACAUAAGUAACGAUAAAGCGGGUGAAAAGCCCGCUCGCCGGAAGACCAAGGGUUCCUGUCCAACGUUAAUCGGGGCAGGGUGAGUCGACCCCUAAGGCGAGGCCGAAAGGCGUAGUCGAUGGGAAACAGGUUAAUAUUCCUGUACUUGGUGUUACUGCGAAGGGGGGACGGAGAAGGCUAUGUUGGCCGGGCGACGGUUGUCCCGGUUUAAGCGUGUAGGCUGGUUUUCCAGGCAAAUCCGGAAAAUCAAGGCUGAGGCGUGAUGACGAGGCACUACGGUGCUGAAGCAACAAAUGCCCUGCUUCCAGGAAAAGCCUCUAAGCAUCAGGUAACAUCAAAUCGUACCCCAAACCGACACAGGUGGUCAGGUAGAGAAUACCAAGGCGCUUGAGAGAACUCGGGUGAAGGAACUAGGCAAAAUGGUGCCGUAACUUCGGGAGAAGGCACGCUGAUAUGUAGGUGAAGUCCCUCGCGGAUGGAGCUGAAAUCAGUCGAAGAUACCAGCUGGCUGCAACUGUUUAUUAAAAACACAGCACUGUGCAAACACGAAAGUGGACGUAUACGGUGUGACGCCUGCCCGGUGCCGGAAGGUUAAUUGAUGGGGUCAGCGCAAGCGAAGCUCUUGAUCGAAGCCCCGGUAAACGGCGGCCGUAACUAUAACGGUCCUAAGGUAGCGAAAUUCCUUGUCGGGUAAGUUCCGACCUGCACGAAUGGCGUAAUGAUGGCCAGGCUGUCUCCACCCGAGACUCAGUGAAAUUGAACUCGCUGUGAAGAUGCAGUGUACCCGCGGCAAGACGGAAAGACCCCGUGAACCUUUACUAUAGCUUGACACUGAACAUUGAGCCUUGAUGUGUAGGAUAGGUGGGAGGCUUAGAAGUGUGGACGCCAGUCUGCAUGGAGCCGACCUUGAAAUACCACCCUUUAAUGUUUGAUGUUCUAACGUUGACCCGUAAUCCGGGUUGCGGACAGUGUCUGGUGGGUAGUUUGACUGGGGCGGUCUCCUCCUAAAGAGUAACGGAGGAGCACGAAGGUUGGCUAAUCCUGGUCGGACAUCAGGAGGUUAGUGCAAUGGCAUAAGCCAGCUUGACUGCGAGCGUGACGGCGCGAGCAGGUGCGAAAGCAGGUCAUAGUGAUCCGGUGGUUCUGAAUGGAAGGGCCAUCGCUCAACGGAUAAAAGGUACUCCGGGGAUAACAGGCUGAUACCGCCCAAGAGUUCAUAUCGACGGCGGUGUUUGGCACCUCGAUGUCGGCUCAUCACAUCCUGGGGCUGAAGUAGGUCCCAAGGGUAUGGCUGUUCGCCAUUUAAAGUGGUACGCGAGCUGGGUUUAGAACGUCGUGAGACAGUUCGGUCCCUAUCUGCCGUGGGCGCUGGAGAACUGAGGGGGGCUGCUCCUAGUACGAGAGGACCGGAGUGGACGCAUCACUGGUGUUCGGGUUGUCAUGCCAAUGGCACUGCCCGGUAGCUAAAUGCGGAAGAGAUAAGUGCUGAAAGCAUCUAAGCACGAAACUUGCC
rnacentral:rRNA from 1 species